AAUGCCUACGGGAGGCAGCAGUGGGGAAUAUUGCACAAUGGGGGAAACCCUGAUGCAGCGACGCCGCGUGAAGGAAGAAGUAUUUCGGUAUGUAAACUUCUAUCAGCAGGGAAGAAAAUGACGGUACCUAACUAAGAAGCCCCGGCUAACUACGUGCCAGCAGCCGCGGUAAUACGUAGGGGGCAAGCGUUAUCCGGAUUUACUGGGUGUAAAGGGAGCGUAGGCGGCGAUGCGAGUCAGAAGUGAAAGCACGGGGCUCAACUACGGGACUGCUUUGGAAACU
rnacentral:rRNA from 1 species